UGGGGAAUAUUGCACAAUGGGCGCAAGCCUGAUGCAGCCAUGCCGCGUGUGUGAAGAAGGCCUUCGGGUUGUAAAGCACUUUCAGCGAGGAGGAAGGUGGUGAGCUUAAUACGCUCAUCAAUUGACGUUACUCGCAGAAGAAGCACCGGCUAACUCCGUGCCAGCAGCCGCGGUAAUACGGAGGGUGCAAGCGUUAAUCGGAAUUACUGGGCGUAAAGCGCACGCAGGCGGUUUGUUAAGUCAGAUGUGAAAUCCCCGGGCUCAACCUGGGAACUGCAUUUGAAACUGGCAAGCUAGAGUCUCGUGAGAGGGGGUAGAAUUCCAGGUGUAGCAGGUGAAAUGCGUAGAGAUCUGGAGGAAUACCGGUGGCGAAGGCGGCCCCCUGGACGAAGACUGACGCUCAGGUGCGAAAGCGUGGGGCAGCAAACAGGAUUAGAUACCCUGGUAGUCCAGCGCUGUAAACGAUGUCGAUUUUGGAGGUUGUGCCCUUGAGGCGUGGCUUCCGGAGCUAACGCGUUAAAUCGACCGCCUGGGGAGUACGGCCGCAAGGUUAAAACUCAAAGGAAUUGACGGGGUCUAGCUG
rnacentral:rRNA from 1 species